CGCAUCUCCCAGCCGCCCGCAGAGACGCGUCGGGAGCCGCCGGGCGAUCGCCUGCCCACCUGGGGGGGCCGGGAGCGGCAGGGACACCCCCCACUCCGCCUCGUCUUUCUCUCCUCCCCUCCGCCGCCUCCCUCCGUCCCUCCCUGCCCGCCUGCCUGGGAUGGUGGAGGGAGUCCGGAGCACCCGGCAGGGCGGCCCUGGGCGCGGGGCCGGCUCGCCCUGGCCACGGUGCGGGGCGCGGCCCGCGGGGGGCUCCGCCGUCCCGGGGUCCGGCAGCCGCCGCCGCCACUGCCGGUGAUGGCCAAGGAUGUCCUCGGAGGGGGAAGCCGAGGCGGCUGCUGAGAGCGGGCCGGGCAGCAUCCCCGCGCCGGGGGCCGCCGCCGCCGCCGCCGUGCGGGAGGAGCAACGCCCCGUGAAACAGUCCCUGAGUGCUUGCAUGUGCCGAGAGUCCCACUGGAAAUGCCUCCUCCUCUCCAUCCUCAUGUACGGCUGCCUGGGUGCAGUGGCCUGGUGUCAGCUGGCCCGAGUCACCAAGCUCAGCUUCGAUAGCUCCUUCAAGGGCAAGUCCAUGAUCUACCAUGACAGCCCGUGCUCAGAUGGCUAUGUCUAUAUCCCACUGGCCUUCCUCUCUAUGCUGUAUGUGGUGUACCUGGUGGAGUGCUGGCACUGCCACGUCAAGAGAGAGCUGCAGUACAAGGCAGAUGUGGACAGUGUCUAUGAGUGCAUCAACCGCAUGCAGCAAGCCACUCCGUGCAUCUGGUGGAAGGCCAUCAGCUAUCACUUUGUACGGCGAACCCGGCAGGUGACCCGGUACCGCAAUGGCGAUGCCUACACCACCACACAGGUCUACCAUGAGAGGGUCAAUACACAUGUGGCUGAAGCUGAAUUUGACUACUCUCACUGUGGAUACAAGGACAUCUCCAAGGAGCUCCUGGGCUUGGAGAGCCAUACAGCCACCAAGUUGAGGUUCACCAAGUGCUUCAGCUUUGCCAACAUUGAGUCUGAGAACUCUUACCUGACUCAGAGAGCUCACUUCUUCACAGAGAUCGAGGGGCUGGAUGACUACAUGGAGGUGAGGGAAGGCAUGCAACUUAAAAAUGUGGAUUUUAAGGAGCUUAUGAUGGCCUACGGAGACCCGGAUCACCUCCCGUGGUAUGUGUCCCACUAUGCUUUCUGGGUGGCAGCUAUCCUGAUGAUUUCGUGGCCGCUCAGGGUACUCAUAGAGUAUCGGACUGCUUAUGUCCACUACCACGUGGAGAAGCUGCUGGGCCUGGAAUACACAGCCCCCACUGCGGCAGAGGAGCCCUUGUACCGGUACCGCAUGCCCCGAGACACCACGCAGGACAGCACCGAGCUGGAGUGGCACAUCUGCACCAACCGGCAGCUGAUCCCUAGCUACUCGGAAGCCAUGCUCAUGGACCUGGCCAACUCCCCGACCUACAACACCUACACAGUGUGUCGGUACGGCGAGGCAGCCCAUGGCUGUGACCGCUGCAACCGUGCCUCCAGCACCUCCUCCAUCUUCUCACGCCAUGCUUUCCACAGCUGCAGCGGCAACUCCCGCCUCUCCCUCAACACCAGCCGCUUUUCCCUCUGCCGCAUUCACGGCUCCCACAGGACAGGCCUUUGGAGGAGCCGCAGCAGCAGCAUUGCAGAGCGGGGCUGCCAGGAUGAGCAGUGCUGCUCCUACUCUAGCCAGCUGGCUGUCAACGAGAGCCCCCCAACCUACCACGAUGCCCGGUUCUUCCCUGUCCUGAUUGUGCACAGGCCGGAGGGGCACGAUGGGCGGCAUUUCUACGUCAGGCGUUCCUCCUGUCUAGAAACCUCUCUGUGACAGGUCUCCGUGGUUAUUUGGCUUCUCUCCCCCAGGACACAGAUUUCAGAGGUGCCACCAGUGGGGAGCCUGCAAGCAUCAGUCUCCACAGCAGGUCAGCAGGACAAGCUUCAGCUCUCCCCCCUUCAGCAAGAGGACAUAUUCACUCUGACCAACAGAUAACCUCAUUUCCGAGAGCUUCUCCCCCUCUGGCUGGUCUCCCUAGUCUUUUGUUCCCCAUUCCUCUCACUCUUUCACUCCUCCCCUUUCUCUACUCCUCGAUUCCCUGCAUCUCCUCCCAUUCCACCUGCAGUCUUUUUUUACGUUUCAGUCACCUUUAACUGCUGUGGCUGCUGGAAGAUUUUUAAAGCCUGUGCUUUGCCAGUACAUUUGCCCUCUUGGAUGCUUUGCAAGAAAUGGAAACAUUGGCAAUGCCUGGCUAAUCGGCUGCAAAUGAUGGAACCAUCAGCAAGGUUGUUUAAAUUCUUAUGAGUUGAUCUUUUUUAAUGUAAAUACUUCAUGUGUGAUUUAUGUGAUAUUUUCAUUCUGACAGCUUGGCAUUUAUCACAAAAGAUAGAUAACACAUAUGAUGUGAUAGUUUAUCACCUCUAAAAAAAUAACCAUCCCAGACACGUGGAAAAACCAAGUUUGGGCUUGGGGUAAUGAUUAUGGUUGGGCUGGGGCCAAACUGGAUAACACUGAAACUUAGAGAAAAAUCCAAAUUUUGAUCCACCAUACAGUGGUCCCUAGACCCCCAUGUACUCUGUGCCACUUGCCACCCCCAGGGAGGGCUGGGAGAGUUUGGGAACUAGGAAAGGAUCAGGCCUGAACUCAAAGCUCAGACUCAUACCUGACAUCCUUUUAUCCCGAAGACGAAGUCAACACAAGUCUUUAAUAUGGUUCCCUGUCCUUACUUUGUUCACACAAUAAAGCCAGCACACAUGAAAGAUGUAAGAGCUGGAGGAGGCUAAAACAGAGAGGCUGGAACAUUUCAACACAGUUGCUUACUGAAGAAGGUGGUAGAGAGGAAGACAAGAAACAAGAAAGGAAAAGAUGGUAGAAUAAUAUAAAUUAAAGGAAAACAGAGUUCAGCUGUAGCUAACAUAAUUCCCAAAUGAGCAGCAUAACUCAGUUAUGGCAAGCUUAGCCCCGAUACAGGAAGGAUGAGUUUCAGCCGUCUUGUGAGCUGCUUCCGCAGCCACCCAUGUCUUUAAAUACCAUACCCAAGGUCUUGGGAUAGCCAGUUUUGUCCCAUAUGUAUUCCAAGAUGGAGAGUUAUAUUGGGGUCCUCAGAAGUGGCCACAUUAAACAGUAUUAUUAUCUGACAUGAACAAGCUCUGGCAGUCACACUAUUAGGAUGGAUUGGGCAGAGAACUGAGACAGUUUAUAUGCAGUUUAACCCUUUUCUGGGUCCUCAAAAGCCACUGUAUUAUCCAGUAGCUCUUGAGCUGUGUCAUUGGCAGGGUUUGGAAAGAGUUGAGGUUUUCUGUUUCUGCAACCACUGUGUUCCAGCCCAACUUUGGGGUUUUUAUUUGAAAAGCUAUCCCUAAGCUGCAAAAGCCCUCUCACACACAGAGCUUUCUCCUGUGACUUGCUGUAGCCUCUGGUGGUGACCAAGAAGUUGUGAGCAGCUCUUGUUCUAGCUUGGGACUGAAUAUGCUGGCUUCAACAGAUCUCCCACUCAGGAAGCACCUGAAUAACCAUCUGUACAGCAGAAUUACCUCUGUAUUUUAGCAGCCCUUCACUACCACUUCUUAAUCACUCUUGCCAUUGCCACAGCUUCCUGAUGCAGAAUGAGGGAUCUGCUCCCUAGCAACAUAGGGAUUAACACUGCUCUUCAAAUCCCAAGUCAGAGGAUGGAGUGGACAGAUUCUUGAAUAAGAGUGCAAACGAGGCAGUGCUAUGGAAAAAAUCUUUUACAACACACAGGGAAUUUGUAUCCAACUGCAGACUGACUACUUUGACAAUGGAGUGGUGGCAUGCACCAGCAGGUUUUGUUGAACUUUUAGGGCUAUGGCUUCUCAUGUGGAAAUGGGUGUUUGGGAGUGCUUUCUCACUGGGAUAACCUGUCCCAGAUGCCCUGUUGGCUCUUAAUAAUUAGAAGAGGCUGAACAGUAAAACGAAGUGAGGAAGUCCAGCAAAUAUUGUCUUUCUUCUGCUUUUUCUCUC